rnacentral:rRNA from 1 species
CGGUAAUUCCAGCUCCAAUAGCGUAUACUAAAGUUGUUGCAGUUAAAAAGCUCGUAGUUGGAUUUCUGCGGGGACGGAGCGGCCGGUCGCAACUUGCGACUCGAGCUAGCGCUUUCCCCGCAUCCUGCCGCGAACCGUGCUACCAUUAGUUUGGUGGCGCUGGGGAUCGGCUCGAUUACUUUGAGAAAAAUAGAGUGUUCAAAGCAGGCCACACGCCUUGAAUAAGUUAGCAUGGAAUAAUGACUAAGGACUUUGGUUCUUUUCGUUGGUGUUCGGGACUGAAGUAAUGAUUGAUAGGGACAGUUGGGGCGGUCCGUAUUCCAAAGCGAGAGGUGAAAUUCUUAGACCUUCGGAAGACGAACAGCUGCGAAAGCGUUCCGCAAGGAUGUUCCCUUUGAUCAAGAACGAAAGUUGGGGGAUCGAAGACGAUCAGAUACCGUCGUAGUCUCAACUAUAAACUAUACCAGCUAGGGAUCGGCCAACGUUUAAUUUAUCGACUUGGUCGGCACCUUAUGAGAAAUCAAAGCAUCUGGGUUCCGGGGGGAGUAUGGUCGCAAGGCUGAAACUUAAAGGAAUUGACGGAAGGGCACCACCAGCCGUGGAGCCUGUGGCUUAAUUUGACUCAACACGGGAAAACUUACCAGGUCCAGACAUAGGAAGGAUUGACAGAUUGAUAGCUCUUUCUUGAUUCUGUGGGUGGUGGUGCAUGGCCGUUUUUAGUCGGUGGAUGUGAUCUGUCUGCUUAAUUGCGUUAACGGACGAGACCCCAGCCUGCUAAAUAGCGCGGCCGAGCUUUGCUCGGUGCGAGCUUCUUAGAGGGACCAUGAUGCGCGAUAGCACAAGGAAGUUUGGGGCAACAACAGGUCUGUGAUGCCCUUAGAUGUUCUGGGCCGCACACGGGCUACACUGGCGCCUGCAACGAGCAUAUCAGCUGGCCCGAGAGGGUCUUGGCUAAUCUUUGGAACCGGCGCCGUGCUUGGGAUUGACCAUUGCAAUUGUUGGUCAUGCAACGAGGAAUGCCUUGUAAACGCGAGUCAUCAGCUCGCAUUGAAUACGUCCCUGCCCCUUGUACACACCGCCC